UAGGGAAUCUUCCGCAAUGGGCGAAAGCCUGACGGAGCAACGCCGCGUGAGUGAUGAAGGUCUUCGGAUCGUAAAACUCUGUUAUUAGGGAAGAACAAAUGUGUAAGUAACUAUGCACGUCUUGACGGUACCUAAUCAGAAAGCCACGGCUAACUACGUGCCAGCAGCCGCGGUAAUACGUAGGUGGCAAGCGUUAUCCGGAAUUAUUGGGCGUAAAGCGCGCGUAGGCGGUUUUUUAAGUCUGAUGUGAAAGCCCACGGCUCAACCGUGGAGGGUCAUUGGAAACUGGAAAACUUGAGUGCAGAAGAGGAAAGUGGAAUUCCAUGUGUAGCGGUGAAAUGCGCAGAGAUAUGGAUGAACACCAGUGGCGAAGGCGACUUUCUGGUCUGUAACUGACGCUGAUGUGCGAAAGCGUGGGGAUCAAACAGG
rnacentral:rRNA from 1 species